UACGAGGGGUGCAAGCGUUGCUCGGAAUUAUUGGGCGUAAAGGGUAGGUAGGUGGUCUCAUUUGUCUGGGGUGAAAGCCUUGAGCUUAACUCAAGAAGUGCCCCGGAAACGGUGAGACUGGAGUCCUGGAGAGGGUCGUGGAAUUCCCGGUGUAGCGGUGAAAUGCGUAGAGAUCGGGAGGAACACCAGAGGCGAAGGCGGCGACCUGGACAGGCACUGGCACUCAACUACGAAAGCGUGGGGAGCAAACAGG
rnacentral:rRNA from 1 species